UUAACUAUUAUAUAGUACUCAGACGACACUAAUAUUCAGGGUUUGGGGUUCUCUGGCGGGCGCUUACCAGCCGGAGCCGGUAGUCGGGCGUGAGCCUGACGGCCCGCCAAAGCAACAAAGUAAUAAUAACACAGGGUGGGAGAUCUACCCGUUAGGGCAUGAACUCUGUAAUGAUCCCUCCGCAGGUUCACCUACGGAGA
rnacentral:misc_RNA from 1 species